UAUGGCCACAUCAUGUUGAAACACCGGUUCCCGUACAAUCACCGAAGUUAAGCAACGUCGAUCCUGGUCAGUACCUAGAUGGGUGACCGCUUGGGAAUACCAGGUGCU
rnacentral:rRNA from 1 species